GCAGUCGGUGGUUCAGUGGUGGAAUGCUCACUUGCCACGCGGGCGGCCCGGGUUCUUUUCUCAGCCGAUGCA